AAAGGUAAGCUACUAAGAGCGAAUGGUGGAUGCCUUGACUGGUAAAGGCGAUGAAGGACGUACUAGACUGCGAUAAGCUACGGGGAGCUGUCAAGAAGCUUUGAUCCGUAGAUUUCCGAAUGGGGCAACCCAAUGUAUAGAGAUAUACAUUACCUAUAUAGGAGCGAACGAGGGGAAUUGAAACAUCUUAGUACCCUCAGGAAAAGAAAUCAAUAGAGAUUGCGUCAGUAGCGGCGAGCGAAAGCGCAAGAGGGCAAACCCAGUGCUUGCACUGGGGGUUGUAGGACUGCAAUGUGCAAGAGGUAAGUUUAGCAGAACAUUCUGGAAAGUAUAGCCAUAGAGGGUGAUAGUCCCGUAUGCGAAAAACAAACCUUAGCUAGCAGUAUCCUGAGUAGGGCGGGACACGAGGAAUCCUGUCUGAAUCCGGGUCGACCACGAUCCAACCCUAAAU
rnacentral:rRNA from 1 species